GACCAAGGAUUACAAGAAGUUCAACCACUUAACAUACAUCAACCCUCGAACUCAACGGAAAAAACAAGGUUCUCGAAUCAAAAACCAACUAAUGAUAAACAGAAGAAACCAAGAAUUGAAGACUGAUUUUUUUUUUUUUAAUAAACAUACUUUGAAAGACAUGGAUUUUUAAUAUUAUUUAAUGUUUGUUUUAAGUCACCUUAGAGGUUAUAAUUUAAUUAUAAUAAAUAGUCAUAAAUGAUAAAUCGUUAGGAUUUUAUAAUGAUUUAGUUAAAACUAUUUUAAUAACAAAACAUUCAAUAAAUAACGUCGAAAUAAAAAGGUCAAUUUGUCAACUAACCAAAUAAAAAAAAAGUGAAAAAUAUAGCAUAUUAAUUGAAAAGAAAUAAGAAAAAUAGGAUUAGGGGCAUGAAAAAUUACUUUUGGUGUUGUGAUGUUUUAGUGAUAAUGGUGGGUGGUGGCUACAUGUGGC
rnacentral:lncRNA from 1 species